rnacentral:rRNA from 1 species
UAGGGAAUAUUGCUUAGUGGGCGAAAGCCUGAAGCAGCAACGCCGCGUGUGUGAAGAAGGCCUUCGGGUUGUAAAACACUUUUUGAGGGAAUGAGGAAGGACAGUACCCUCAGAAUAAGCCUCGGCUAACUACGUGCCAGCAGCCGCGGUAAAACGUAGGAGGCGAGCGUUAUCCGGAUUUACUGGGCGUAAAGCGCGUGCAGGCGGCACGGCAAGUUGGAUGUGAAAGCUCCCGGCUUAACUGGGAGAGGUCGUUCAAAACUGCCGAGCUAGAGUGCGGGAGAGGGAGGUGGAAUUCCGGGUGUAGUGGUGAAAUGCGUAGAUAUCCGGAGGAACACCAGAUGCGAAAGCGGCCUCCUGGUCCGCAACUGACGCUCAGACGCGAAAGCUAGGGUAGCAAACGG